GUCUAUUAAUGGCAGAAGUGUUUCGUUUUCAGAUGCCAUCCGAACCACUUUACUUUGUGGCGUUAUUGGUAUUAUUUGUGAUUACUAAUAGAUGGACAGCACGGUUGUUAUAUCCUCCGAUAAGCAAUUGCAGUGCUAUUUGGGCUUCCUAAGUAAGUGUAUGACUGGGUAUUUGGUUCAAAGGAUGUCCAGUUGUUUGUCCCGAUCCCGCAUAAUCACGGGGUAUGAAGCACAGUUUAUCGCAUCCCAGCCCACGGAUAUGCAGAAAGCCUCCAGGCUGAUGCAGAUUGUCAUUAAAAAAGGCCAAAAUGCAUGCAGUUCGUUCCUCAGAUGCCUUGGAAUUUGUGACCCGGUGUUGUAUGAGAAUAUUACAGGAUUUCCAGCACAAUUUAAGCAAGAGGACCAUCAACAUGUAGAGGAAAUUCCUUUUUCAGAAAAAUUGAAGUUUACACCUUGUAUUAUAAACAUACAAAACUCUUCCCUGACCAACUGUAUUAUUGGGAACAACAAUAGCCAAUGCAUUACCUGUGACCAGCAUUCUUUGCUCACUCAGAAUGAUGCAAACAGUGUGAAUGAAAUGGCGGACAGUCAGAGCCAUGAUCAACUGAUCCCAGCGCAGGAUACAAUAAGUGGCAGCAGCGUUCACAUGGAGAGAUCCAACAUAGAGUAUGUUAUUAUAGGUGACCGUAACAGUAUGACAGUCACUGAGAACUCGGAGGUUGAGGAAGAUACAGAGAUUGAGCCUGAAGAGAUUAGGUAAAAGCUGUGAAAUAGUGGGCAGGAGGUCAGACCCACAGUUUUGGAGAGCUGCAGAUUGUCAACUCGCCUUAACAGGCCUGACCUAUGAUUGUACACUGGAAGCAUAAUAUAUGCUUUAAACUGACCAAUGCUCAGGUCUUCAGCAGGAGCUACCAAGCACACUGAAACAUUAUCCUUUAUCGUGGAUUUUCUAAACCUGUGUGCCUUGAGGUGGCAAUGAUAUUUGAUACUGCUUUAAUUGCUACUGAACAUGACUACUACUGACGGUUUUAAUGGGUACACCAA
rnacentral:lncRNA from 1 species